GACGAACGCUGGCGGCGUGCUUAACACAUGCAAGUCGAGGGGGCUCAGCAAUGGGUCACCGGCGAACGGGUGCGUAACACGUGAGCGACCUGCCCAACUGCGGGGGAUAGCCGGCCCAACGGCCGGGUAAUACCGCAUACGACCUUCGAGGGCGAUCUCUUGGAGGUGAAACCGAAUUCAGGCGGUUGGAGGGGCGUCGCGGCCGUAUCAGCUAGUUGGUGCGGUCGAUGGCGCACCAAGGCGACGACGGGUAGCUGGUCUGAGAGGAU
rnacentral:rRNA from 1 species